CAAAUCUGGAGAGCGAUGGGCUGGAUCCAUCCACCGAAGGGGCACCCGGCCGGGAUGAGGCAGCGAAGACAGCGCUCAUCCGCACCGCAAUCUCUCAGGUACCAAGGACAGAUGGGGCGAA
rnacentral:ncRNA from 1 species